rnacentral:ncRNA from 1 species
UCGCGGAGUGGAAUCUGAAGGGAGCAGGAGGCGAACCUCUGGUCUGACGAACAGAGAUCGCGUUAGGCGCAAGUGGGCGGGUAAGGUUGCUUAACAAACCGAAGCCCGAUAGCUAUACGGAAGCCUAUGGGGUAGAUGCGGCAGGUGGAUUGAGGGGAAGA